rnacentral:rRNA from 1 species
CCUACGGGAGGCAGCAGUGAGGAAUAUUGGUCAAUGGACGAGAGUCUGAACCAGCCAAGUAGCGUGAAGGAUGACUGCCCUAUGGGUUGUAAACUUCUUUUAUAUGGGGAUAAAACGUUCCACGUGUGGGAUUUUGUAUGUACCAUAUGAAUAAGGAUCGGCUAACUCCGUGCCAGCAGCCGCGGUAAUCCGGAGGAUCCGAGCGUUAUCCGGAUUUAUUGGGUUUAAAGGGAGCGUAGGUGGAUUGUUAAGUCAGUUGUGAAAGUUUGCGGCUCAACCGUAAAAUUGCAGUUGAAACUGGCAGUCUUGAGUACAGUAGAGGUGGGCGGAAUGCGUGGUGUAGCGGUGAAAUGCUUAGAUAUCACGAAGAACUCCGAUUGCGAAGGCAGUUCACUGGACUGCAACUGACACUGAGGCUCGAAAGUGUGGGUAUCAAACAGGAUUAGAUACCCGUGUAGUC